UAGCAGUCGCGGUUAAACCUGAGUUACUCAAUUCAAGCGUUACAGUGCAAAAGGUGGUUAGACAGCCCUCCCUGUUAUUUAAGGGGUAAAUUAGGAAAAAAGAGGAUCGAUCCGGGAAGGGUAGGGGUGCAAUCCGGUUAACCCUCCUGAGGAAAGGGGUGAUUUCUUCUUUAGGCUGAGGCCACGGAACCGGGGAACCGAAGACAUGGAUUUGAGACCCAUUUAUUACCGACGCAAACUUUGCUUUAGGGCAGCUGCUUGGGGACUACGAGCGUGUGCUUAAAACUCAAAGAACUUGGCGGCAAGUUAACUACCUAGGGGAAUAUGCGUCUUAAUCCGAUGAUCCACGUGGAAUCUUACUGUACCUUGAAAAAGAGCAGCCGGUGUAUUGCCGUCGUCAGCUUGUUGUUCAAGCAAGGAGAAACAAGCUUAAUGGAGCUGGCGAUGUUAAUCGACAGGGUCCGUAAAGUCAGGUCGAAAUACUGCCUAUGGUACAAGGGAGCGGGUAUUACAAUUCAAAUUUCGAAAUACGGAGCUUGGAAGAAAUGUGAAACCUCCAGGUGAAGGUGGACUUAGGAGUAAGGGAAGAUUAAUAUGCUCCCCUGAACAUGAAACUAGCUUGUGUACAAACCGCCCGUCGCUCUCGCCGGAAG
rnacentral:rRNA from 1 species